rnacentral:rRNA from 1 species
ACUCCUACGGGAGGCAGCAGUAGGGAAUCUUCCGCAAUGGACGCAAGUCUGACGGAGCAACGCCGCGUGAGUGAAGAAGGUUUUCGGAUCGUAAAACUCUGUUGUUAGAGAAGAACAAGUGCUAGAGUAACUGUUAGCGCCUUGACGGUAUCUAACCAGAAAGCCACGGCUAACUACGUGCCAGCAGCCGCGGUAAUACGUAGGUGGCAAGCGUUGUCCGGAUUUAUUGGGCGUAAAGCGAGCGCAGGCGGUUUCUUAAGUCUGAUGUGAAAGCCCCGCCUGCAUCAGGCAGGGUGGCAUUGGAAACUGGGGAACUUGAGUGCAGAAGAGGAGAGUGGAAUUCCAUGUGUAGCGGUGAAAUGCGUAGAUAUAUGGAGGAACACCAGUGGCGAAGGCGACUCUCUGGUCUGUAACUGACGCUGAGGCUCGAAAGCGUGGGUAGCAAACAGGAUUAGAUACCCUGGUAGGCUCUGCU